GAUCAUGGCUCAGGAUGAACGCUAGCUACAGGCUUAACACAUGCAAGUCGAGGGGCAGCAUGAACUUAGCUUGCUAAGUUUGAUGGCGACCGGCGCACGGGUGAGUAACACGUAUCCAACCUUCCGUUUACUCAGGGAUAGCCUUUCGAAGAAAGAUUAAUACCUGAUAGUAUGGUGAGAUUGCAUGAUAACACCAUUAAAGAUUAUUGGUAACGAAUGGGGAGUGCGUUCCU
rnacentral:rRNA from 1 species